AGAGUUUGAUCCUAGCUCAGGAUGAACGCUGGCGACGUGGAUUAGGCAUGCAAGUCAAGGGGGCCGCAAGGCAACCGGCAGACGAGGUAGUAUAACGCAGGUACGCACCGAAAAGUCGGGCAUAGCUAGCCGAAAGGUUAGGUAAUUCCCGAUGGUGAGGCAACUCUAAAGGAGUAAUCCGCUUUUUGAGCGGCCUGCGCAGCAUCAGUUAGUUGGUAGGGUAACGGCCUACCAAGACUAUGACGCUUAGAAGAGCUGAGAGGCUGACCUUCACCGAUAGCACUGAGACACGGGCUAUACAUCUACGGAUGGCUGCAGUCGAGAAUCUUCCACAAUGGACGAAAGUCUGAUGGAGCGACGUCGCGUGACUGAUGAAGUCCUUCGGGACGUAAAGGUCUUUUAUGGGGGAGGAAGUAAUUGACGUUACCCCAUGAAUAAGGGGCUCCUAACUCUGUGCCAGCAGGAGCGGUAAUACAGAGGCCCCAAGCGUUAUCCGGAAUCACUGGGCGUAAAGGGUGUGUAGGCGGUUAUGUUAGUCUUUUGUUAAAGCUUUCUGGCUUAACCAGGAAAAUGCAGGAGAAACGGCAUGACUUAGAGGUCGCGAGAGGUAUACGGAACUCAUAGUGUAGGGGUGAAAUCCGUUGAUAUUAUGGGGAACACCAAAUGCGAAGGCAGUAUACUGGCGCGUACCUGACGCUGAAACACGAAAGCGUGGGAAUCGAACGGGAUUAGAUACCCCGGUAGUCCACGCCCUAAACGAUCACAACUGGCUAUAAGGAGUAUCGACCCUCUUUGUGGCGAAGCUAACGCGUUAAGUUGUGCGCCUGGGUAGUACGACCGCAAGGUUAAAACUCAAAGGAAUAGACGGGGACUUGCACAAGCGGUGGAUCAUGCGGCUCAAUUCGAUGACAAACGAAGAACCUCACCAGGGUUUGAAACUCAACUGUAAGCCUUAGGAAACUUUGGCCCUCGCAAGACUGUUGGGCAGGUGAUGCAUGGUCGUCGUCAGUUCGUGGCUUGAGUUGUUCCCU
rnacentral:rRNA from 1 species